UACAGAGGGUGCAAGCGUUGUUCGGAAUUAUUGGGCGUAAAGCGCGUGUAGGCGGCUUUGCAAGUCGGGUGUGAAAGCCCUCAGCUUAACUGAGGAAGUGCGCCCGAAACUGCAUGGCUUGAGUACCGGAGAGGAUGGUGGAAUUCCCGAAGUAGAGGUGAAAUUCGUAGAUAUCGGGAGGAACACCUGUGGCGAAGGCGGCCACCUGGACGAUAACUGACGCUGAGACGCGAAAGCGUGGGUAGCAAACAGG
rnacentral:rRNA from 1 species